ensembl:lncRNA
GACGACUGACGGAUUACACAGACAUUAAGUUUAAAGCAAAAAACAAAUACAAUGGUUUUAUUGCCUCUGUAUUAAAUACAUUUUCAGUGCUUUGGAAAUAAAGUGAAGAUGAAUCUUUGAACACAAAAAUCUAAUCAACUCAAUCUUUCCCGUUCAGCCACAGGAGAGUUUGGUGCUCCGGUCACACAGAUUAGAACUGCGCCGGUGGAUCUGACCAACACAACAGCUGACACCAACAACACAGUGUCCACCAACUCCACCUCUCCACCCACCACCAGUACUGCAACUGUGCCCCUGCAGUCUAUGUCCAAAGCUCUCCUGAUCGUCCUGGGUGUUCUGAGUCUGGCCUGGCUGUGAAGAACCACACACCUCCUUCUUGAGACAAACUAAAGCGAAAACCAAAGCUAAUCACAAAGCUACAUGCAAAACAUUACACAAUUUAAAAGAUGAAUCAAAUUUGGACAUUUAUCCCUAUACUUCCUGGUGUACCAAAAGCAUUGUUAUACCACGGGCUGGGCACCAUUUACAGAUUUACAACUGGUAGCAAAUAAAUAUUGGUACUGAAAACUGGUAAAAGGAAAAAAAAGUUAUUUUAACGCCACAUUUUUUCCCAAAUCAAAUCAGACAGUUACUAUGCAAUGCAACUACAAAUAUGAAAAUUACUGGUUCUGCUGGUUUAUAAACGUAACCACUGUCUAAAACCAUAAAUAGAAUAAGUUUAACAGCAAAGAUACCAAAGAUACUGUGUAUACCAGAUAUUAAUGAAGUACUGCUACACAAAAGAUGCAAAUAGCGUCCAGCCCUAUAAAAUGUGUGCAAUAGACUGUAUUCUGAAGCUUUAUUAAAAUACAGUGGUGUUGAAUUACCACAAGACAUGAAAGGCGAGAAGGCGUGGCUAACGUCCCUUUUGUGUCUGAAAGGGAAGAAGACGCUUAUGAUGGUUACUAUGGUUACUCAAGAAUGAGACAAGCUGGAACCUGUCUUAUGACCUAAUACUCUCAGGACAAUGUUUUCCCAUAGACUUCAAUAGAAUAGCUGUAACAUGCAACUCCCACUGGUUUAAAACAAUACAAGACACCAUCACACUCUCAUGCACUGAGAAAAAGUAUCAGAGCCUUUUUGGGUUUUAUUACAAACUGGUUUUAGUCGUAGGAUCUGGCAAAGAGCUCAUUCUUUCCAAAACAUGUAAAAAUGCGCACCUUUUACAUCGUAUAGUUUAGAUUCAUUGUGUAUAAAUCAAGAGAAUAAUUAUCAGUAAAAUGCAUAUUUGUUUACUUCACAUCUGAGUACUGACAUAAAAAUACUACAUAGAUACAUUCAAUUUUAUACCUGAAACUAUGAAAAAAUAUAAUAAUAAGUAAAUCUGUCAUUUCAACAUUUUUAUAAUCAUUUACAGUCAUUCAUUAGCAGAG